UACAGAGGGUGCAAGCGUUGUUCGGAAUUAUUGGGCGUAAAGGGAGUGUAGGCGGUGAGUUAAGUCUGCUGUGAAAUCUACGGGCUUAGCCUGUAACGUGCAGCGGAAACUGGCUAACUUGAGUGUCGGAGAGGAUAGGGGAAUACCCAGUGUAGAGGUGAAAUUCGUAGGGAUUGGGUGGAACACCAGUGGCGAAGGCGCCUGUCUGGCUGACAACUGACGCUGAGACUCGAAAGCAUGGGGAGCAAACAGG
rnacentral:rRNA from 1 species